UACGAAGGGGGCUAGCGUUGCUCGGAAUCACUGGGCGUAAAGGGUGCGUAGGCGGGUUUUUAAGUCAGAGGUGAAAUCCUGGAGCUCAACUCCAGAACUGCCUUUGAUACUGAAAGUCUUGAGUAUGGGAGAGGUGAGUGGAACUGCGAGUGUAGAGGUGAAAUUCGUAGAUAUUCGCAAGAACACCAGUGGCGAAGGCGGCUCACUGGCCCAUAACUGACGCUGAGGCACGAAAGCGUGGGGAGCAACAG
rnacentral:rRNA from 1 species